AGUGCGCAUGCUUGUCGGAGAUUCUCAGGCGACCUUCCCUCUUAUCUUCCUCUUGCAUUUAUCAGAAGUGCUGAACCCUUGACGUGCCUUAUCUUAUUUGCUCCUCACAACAAAUCUUAUGAGAUGCAUCACUACCAGAAGUUGUCCAGAAAGAACUGUGACCAUUGGCUCUCCUGAUGGUUGCACGAUGGCUGCAGCAGUUCCAGAUGUCCCAUCGAGACACAAAAAGAUCCCAGAUGGAAGAUGCCAUCUCCUCCUAUGUGCCUCUUUUUAAGAGUUACACAGGAGUGAGGAGGACCACCAAACCAAACUAAGACUCGGAGGAAAAAAAAAAAAGAAAAAGAAGAAAAUGUCUGCUAGGUGCCAUGCCACUCAAACAGCCAAUGGAAAGGCCCACGUGGCGAGAGCUAAGGCUUCCUGCCAACAGGCAAGUGAGGAAGCCCAGUCAGCUGCCUGCAGUCCUGACCCAUGAAGAGCCUGACUGAAAGUGAAUGAGCAACCCUGAGCUAGGACAACCCAGCAAGGCCCAUCCUGAAUUCCUGCCCACAAAAACUCUGAGACAGUAAAUGUUCGUUGUUUUAAACCACAAAGUUUUGAAGUAAUAGAUUAAUUAGGUAACCAAUUGGGACUGCAGUAUUCCUUCAGGGAACUUGAAUAGUCAUUCUGUAUAUGGAAAUUGUACACAUCUUAAAAUUGCUGGACUAAAGUGAGAAGAGACUGUCUUGAGUCAACUGGAUAAAGUGGAAAAAAAAUUAAUUUGGAAAUCAAUAGAAUUCUGGCCUUGGCUUUGUCACUAAGAAACACUUAUAAGUAAUUUCACUUCUCUUGAAAUUAUGAUCAUUAUCUAUAACAUAAAGGAACUGAGCUAAAUGUUAUCUGAUGCCUCUUUAGGCUCUCAAACUCCAUAGAUUUAUGACAUGCUUGAAAUUCACUUUGUUUCACCCUAAUUCAGAGCUUUGUUUCACUAGCUCUAGAAUUAGAUGCCUUGGGUUUAAAUUGCAAUUCAGUCACUUAUUUAAAUAAUUGUACUUGGAUGAGUGAUGUUGCCAUUUUAAGCCUCAGUUUCCCCAUAGAUUCAUUGAGAAGAUCAAAUAAGAUGAUGCAGAUAAAGCUCUUAGUUUGUGGGGACACUUAGUAAGUGCUUAAUAAAUACAGGCAGUUGUGUUAUCUAUGUUGUAGCAGCACAUUUUGUAAAAUAAAACAAAGUUGAAAUCACA
rnacentral:lncRNA from 1 species